AUGGGGAAAACUGCACCACAAAAGACGAAUGCGCAGGCUUCACAACCUGUGCUGGCGGUGUGUGCUCGUGCGCUGAUGGUCAGAUGCCAUGGACGCAAGAAGAGCGAUGGCUAUUGUUUCCACAGUCGGUACUCGUUGACUGUCGCCACCCAGAAUUAUCUAACGAAAUUUGCAACGGAACUAAUAUUACUGUUGUCGAACCAAAUUCAACCACAGAAUCUUCCACAUCGACGUCCACGACGGAAAUGUCUGAUUCCACAACAACGAGCGU